UUAUGGAAAGUCAAUCAUUAUAUUAUUUCUGUGUAUAUUCUGUAUUCUGUAUUCCUAUUUAGAAUUUCUUAUUUAGGAUUUCUUCCUAAUUAGUAUAACACAAUUAUAGGAAUCAAUUGUAUAUAAAUACCCAUGUACAGAUUAAUUGAAAUCAAUGAGAAUCAUCUCUUUCUACAUCUCUUUCUACAUGGUAUCAGAGCAGGCCAUCUAGGGUGACUAUUUGUUCUCACCACCCACCAGAGAGACCUUGGCCGCCGACCGGCCGUUUCGAUUCCGAUCAACAUUGCCAGCGUCGCCUCAAUCCCCUCAUUCCACCACUGUGUGCUGUUGCCUGAUCCAGUACACCAUUAAAGGACUUCUGAGCAUUGAUAAGGAUGAUCACCUUACUAAAGAUCCACCUACUGAUGAUACACAACAAACUUGGCUAAGGGAGGACGCUCGGUUGUUUUUGCAGCUUCGGAACUCGAUUCACAGUGAGUUCUGAUGUGAAAGUUCAGCAGGCCCAACGGGAGCAACUGGCUGUUAUGAGUUUUCUUGCAGGCCUUCCUUCAGAGUAUGAGACUGCUAAAUCUCAGAUUCUUUCCAGUUCUGAGAUUUCCUCUUUGCAUGAAACAUUCACACGG